rnacentral:rRNA from 1 species
UGGUGCUUGCACCAGAUGACGAGUGGCGCACGGGUGCGUAACGCGUAUGCAAUCUACCUUUUACUAGAGUAUAGCCCAGAGAAAUUUGGAUUAAUCCUCUAUAAUAUCUUUUAAUUUCAUGAUUUUAAGAUUAAAGUUUUAACGGUAAAAGAUGAGCAUGCGUCCUAUUAGUUUGUAGGUGAGGUAACGGCUCACCUAGACUACGAUAGGUAGGGGCCCUGAGAGGGGGAUCCCCCACACUGGUACUGAGACACGGACCAGACUCCUACGGGAGGCAGCAGUAAGGAAUAUUGGACAAUGGACGAAAGUCUGAUCCAGCCAUGCCGCGUGCAGGAUGAAAGCCCUACGGGUUGUAAACUGCUUUUAUACAGGAAGAAACACUCCGACGUGUCGGAGCUUGACGGUACUGUAAGAAUAAGGAUCGGCUAACUCCGUGCCAGCAGCCGCGGUAAUACGGAGGAUCCAAGCGUUAUCCGGAAUCAUUGGGUUUAAAGGGUCCGCAGGCUGUUUUUUAAGUCAGAGGUGAAAUCCUACAGCUCAACUGUAGAACUGCCUUUGAUACUGAAAAACUUGAGUUAUUGUGAAGUGGUUAGAAUGUGUGGUGUAGCGGUGAAAUGCAUAGAUAUCACACAGAAUACCGAUUGCGAAGGCAGAUCACUAACAAUAUACUGACGCUCAUGGACGAAAGCGUGGGGAGCGAACAGGAUUAGAUACCCUGGUAGUCCACGCCGUAAACGAUGGAUACUAGCUGUUCGUCUAACAUUGGUUAGAUGAGUGGCUAAGCGAAAGUGAUAAGUAUCCCACCUGGGGAGUACGGUCGCAAGACUGAAACUCAAAGGAAUUGACGGGGGCCCGCACAAGCGGUGGAGCAUGUGGUUUAAUUCGAUGAUACGCGAGGAACCUUACCAGGGCUUAAAUGUAGUGGGACAGGUCUAGAGAUAGACCCUUCUUCGGACUCAUUACAAGGUGCUGCAUGGUUGUCGUCAGCUCGUGCCGUGAGGUGUCAGGUUAAGUCCUAUAACGAGCGCAACCCCUAUCGUUAGUUGCCAGCG